GACGUAGGGCGCGAGCGUUGUCCGGAUUUAUUGGGCGUAAAGAGCUCGUAGGCGGCUUGUCGCGUCGUCCGUGAAAACCUGCGGCUCAACUGCAGGCUUGCGGUCGAUACGGGCAGGCUGGAGUUCGGUAGGGGAGACUGGAAUUCCUGGUGUAGCGGUGAAAUGCGCAGAUAUCAGGAGGAACACCGGUGGCGAAGGCGGUUCUCUGGGCCUUACCUGACGCUGAGGAGCGAAAGCGUGGGGAGCGAACAGG
rnacentral:rRNA from 1 species